rnacentral:rRNA from 1 species
GAUGAACGCUGGCGGCGUGCCUAAUACAUGCCAGUCGAGCGAACGGACGAGAAGCUUGCUUCUCUGAUGUUAGCGGCGGACGGGUGAGUAACACGUGGAUAACCUACCUAUAAGACUGGGAUAACUUCGGGAAACCGGAGCUAAUACCGGAUAAUAUUUUGAACCGCAUGGUUCAAAAGUGAAAGACGGUCUUGCUGUCACUUAUAGAUGGAUCCGCGCUGCAUUAGCUAGUUGGUAAGGUAACGGCUUACCAAGGCAACGAUGCAUAGCCGACCUGAGAGGGUGAUCGGCCACACUGGAACUGAGACACGGUCCAGACUCCUACGGGAGGCAGCAGUAGGGAAUCUUCCGCAAUGGGCGAAAGCCUGACGGAGCAACGCCGCGUGAGUGAUGAAGGUCUUCGGAUCGUAAAACUCUGUUAUUAGGGAAGAACAUAUGUGUAAGUAACUGUGCACAUCUUGACGGUACCUAAUCAGAAAGCCACGGCUAACGACG